AUGACUGCGCCCAAGGCCUUUGCGGGCCUCAGCCGGCCCCAGAGGAAGGGGGACCCGUCGAGCGGUUUGGUGCAUGUGAAGCGCGACAUGGCGGGGAAGCGGACAAGCCCGGGUGGCCCCGCGUGUAUAGGGAAAGGGGCGGGGCUAGACGCGGCCUUCACAACUACUAGAACGCCUCGGGCUGUGCGGCUCGAGACUACAUUUCCCAGGGGGCGCCGCGCGGAGCGGGCGGGAAAGAGAGCGUUUCGGGUCCAGUGCGCAGGUGCGAAAGCCAUCUUUGGUUAUAUAAGGGAGGUUCGGGAAGCCGUUCGUUCUUUCGCGUCUGCGGCGCUGAGAGUAUGGCGUUUCUACUGGUUGCAGCCAGGCUUCACCCGCUAUUGUCCUGCCCGUGAGUUCCCAUUUUGUGUGUGGUUAGAGCAGCCAGCGGGUACAGAAUGGAUUUUGGAGGAGGGAGUCACCACUGGACCUCCAAGGAAGCCACGUGCAGACAUCUACAACCUUCGAUCUCCUGACGAGUUUAUUGUUGGCCAAAACCAGGCUUUGAUUGAACCAGGAUGAAUGCAGGUGUUGGAAGUAGAAUAUAUAUAUAUACACAUAUAAAAUUGGUUGGGAGCCACGUGUACCAGUGUGUUGAUCAUGGCUUGAUUCAGUCUGCCUUGUAACAGAUACAGGGUAUGAUACAGCAUCCUACAAGAAUGAGCAAACCUAUUCUGAUGGCAAGAGAGGUGAUGAUUGAGGACAUAAGUCCUUUCCAUUUGCCGAACCAUUUUUCCAUUAAAAUCGUGAAGGCGUCGUUUAUUCCAGAAUUUCUAGCUAGCUCAUUGGAUAAAGC